rnacentral:rRNA from 1 species
ACAGAGGGUGCGAGCGUUGUCCGGAAUUACUGGGCGUAAAGGGCGCGUAGGCGGUUCGGUAAGUAGGAGGUGAAAUUUCGGGGCUCAACCCCGAAACUGCCUUCUAAACUGCCGAACUGGAGCACGGUAGAGGCAGAUGGAAUUCCCGGUGUAGCGGUGGAAUGCGUAGAGAUCGGGAAGAACACCAGUGGCGAAGGCGGUCUGCUGGGCCGUUGCUGACGCUGAGGCGCGACAGCGUGGGGAGCAAACAGGAUUAGAUACCCUGGUAGUCCACGCCGUAAACGAUGGGCACUAGGCGUCGGGGGGAGCGACCCUCCCGGUGCCGUCGCUAACGCAGUAAGUGCCCCGCCUGGGGAGUACGGCCGCAAGGCUG